rnacentral:lncRNA from 1 species
CCCGCGAAUACCACUGCAAUGCCCGCUCACAGCGCCGAUGAAGAAGUUCAACAGACUGAGCCCUCAUGUUCCAAUCCAGCGGGUCGACAACACAAGCCUUCUAGGUGCUCGCCCCGGACAGCCAGAAAAAUGAAGAACCUGGAGAAGAUAAAUUCAAGGCUUCGGAAGGCACUGUCAAGAAUUGGCAAGAGAAAGGUUAAAAA